rnacentral:rRNA from 1 species
UACGGAGGGUGCAAGCGUUGCUCGGAAUUAUUGGGCGUAAAGGGUAGGUAGGUGGUCUCAUUUGUCUGGGGUGAAAGCCUUGAGCUUAACUCAAGAAGUGCCCCGGAAACGGUGAGACUGGAGUCCUGGAGAGGGUCGUGGAAUUCCCGGUGUAGCGGUGAAAUGCGUAGAGAUCGGGAGGAACACCAGAGGCGAAAGCGGCGACCUGGACAGGCACUGACACUCAACUACGAAAGCGUGGGGAGCAAACAGG